rnacentral:lncRNA from 1 species
UUAAGGAUGGCUUGAAGUUGGAAAUAAGCAUUUUGUUUAUAGGAAAACCUAGUAAAGCCUUUUAUAUAUACUUCAGCCCUUAUUGAUCUCCCUGUGGAGCAUCUGUAUAUAUUUGUAAAGUUUUAUAACUGUUAGCAUUUUUUAUGUUACUGUAUUUCUUUUUAUUUACUAAUUUGUAUAGAAAUAUUAUUUGUAUUCCAUAGAUUAUCUCACCCAGUCCUCAUAAUAAUCAUUGUACAGAUAAGGGAGUGGAGGAUCGAAGGAAUUCUAGAAGUCUUCCACUGCCCACCGUCUCAGGGCCAGAGUCGUAGAGUGAAGCGCAGGGUUUUGGCUGCUCAUACGGCUGUUUCCUUGACAAGGGCCAGAAAACUCAGUGGCAGUCUUCUGCUGCCACUUCCUCUAUGCUAGAGUUACAUCUCCUAUGAGGGAGGAGAUAGUGGGACAGGACUGACUAUACUUUGUAAUAAUCAUUGCGGGCAUUUUAUUAGCCAACCAAAAGAAAUGAUGUAGGUAAAAAGAAAUUUUAGCAGAGCAGUGAGAUUUUUGAUCACUGUCAAGUAGAAGGAUUUGUUUGCUUUUCAUGCAUAAGAAAUUAGAGAUUGAACCUCAGUAGAGCAGAUGUAUUUAUUUACUGCUGGGGGAGCAACCCCCAUUUUUUCUUGUUAUAGUUAUUUUCUUUGCCUAUAAUAAAUAUAGGCAUCUUUUCUUUUAUAGUUACUUUCUUUGCCUAUAAGGAGUAAUAUCAGCUAGCUGCAGCUAGGUUUUUAGUGCAAAGAAAUCACAUGAAGUCACAUAGGAGAUGUGUUACAGAUUAUAAAGAGUUUUUUAAACUGUAGUCACAUGGUUCUUGUAAUAUUCUUCAUACAGCUUCCCUUGUUUCCCUAAUGGGUCUUGGAUUAAUGCUCUUCUCCUGCAGCAGGAAGGGAUUAACAGGGAUUUCCCACUUGUUGGCCUCCUGAGGAGCUGUAAUGAGUAAAGGAAAGGAAAGAAAAUCUUAAAUCACUUCACACUUUGUUAAAAGUAAGCUUCUUCCAAGCAUUUCAGAGGGCAAUAGAAUAUAAAAUUUAGAAUUUUGAAGUAUUCUUUCACCCUUCUAUUUGGAGAGAGGGGAGUGGG